ACUUUCACUUUAAGGGCGUCAAAAACAAACACACAUUUCACUGUUGUGUUUUAUGUCAAGUUUUAGUAAAAUUCAACCAGGCCAGGGUGUUUUCUAUCAUCAGUGAAGUUAGAGACAUGACAACCUUUUGUAAUCGGGUUCAGCUCUCUACAGGAGGUACAGCGUAUCUCCUUGUGAAUUACAAAAAUGAAGAUUCGAAUGAAUUUCUUCUGUCUCUUUUUGACGGCAACAAUGUCUGGAAAGGAAAAUUUGAUGAAGAUGACAUUGAGAACAUAAAGAAGACAAAGGAUGCUUUAACCUUAUAUGUUGGGAAGUUGUGCCUUGAAGCCAGCAAGUGAUCCUUUUAAAUCUCUAUGUGAAAUCCUCGAUUACUGUAUAGACAGAAAUAAAGAAAUGAAAGAGAGACUAUCAGCAUUUCAAACAGACUAUGACAGAAUAUCCCAAGAAAAGACUAAUGUUCUCAAGAAAUUAGAAAAAUGUGCUGUUGCUAAGGAAGAACUAGAGAAAGAGCUGUGCACUAAGUGUAUUGAUGUCCUAAACAGUAACAAGGAGAAAAAUGGACAGAUCAACAAUACAAACGGUGAUUUGCUUGCUGGACCAUCACAUGCAGAAGAGGACCCAAUCAAAACAGGGGUCAAAAGAGCAAAGAAAAGGUCAGCACCUAGUGAUGAUGAAGAGAGGGAUCAAGAGAAAAGUGAUGCAGAUGCAACUCACAAGAAAAAGAGUACACCUAGAAAGUCCAAGAAGGCCAUGACAAAGAGUCCACAGAAGGAUGACUCUGUGGUUCUUGAUACCUCGUACGGCAGUAUCGUGACUUCUCUGGUGUCUAGAUCAAGAAGAAAUGCUGAGGCUGAUAAGCAAAAAAUUCCAUCCAAACCUGUUUUUCCCAAAGUGACACCCUCGAAACAAAAACAAAGAAAUGCAUACGAUUCGAACUUCAAGCUGGAAGUCUUAAGCUUUGCAGAAAAACACACAAAUGCAGAGACAAUGAGAUAUUUUGGUAUCAACGAGAAGCUGAUCAGAGACUGGAAAAAGGCUAAGGCAAAGCUUAAAGCUUUGGAGAAACCUGUAAAGAAGAUAAGAUUCAACAGUUCGCCUGUAGAAGAGAUCGAGAAAGAACUUAUAGCAUGGGUCACUAAUUCGAUCGAUCAGGGUCAUAUCGUAAACCGGGGAGCCAUACGUCUCAAAGCUCUAGAAUAUGCCACAAAAGACAAUACUCUUGCCUCACAGGACUUCAAAGCAUCUGCUGGAUGGUGUACAAGGUUUAUGAAACGCCAUGGUCUUUGCUUUCAAAACUCCAAGAGGGAGUCAGAGCAAUCGGCCAGUUCUAAGAAAAGUCGCACAACAUCCUCCAGUAGUUUUGCACCAGACCAGUUCCCGGACAACAUUGAUCUAGAAGACCUCAUUGACAAUUUAUGAUGUUCUUGACCUUUGGGUCAGUAUCUCGGAUAUCCAUGGGGCCACCUAGCAACUAGCAAAAAUCUAGUGACUUUUAUGCUACCUUGAGAAUACUUUAGUACUGGAUGAAGUGGGUCCAAAUAUGAUGAAGGCAUACAUCCAUCUUAUAAAAAGUGACCUCAUUGACAAUUUACGAUGCCCUUGACUUUUGGGUGAGUGUACCCAUGGUGUCAUUCAGCGAUUUUUACAUGUAUGCCACAGUGAGUCUGUUAAAGAGAGGAGCACUCCACAUCAAUCUAUUGAUUGAUGCAUAGAACAUGCUGUAACUGUUUAUUUUUAAUUUUAUAUUAAUUGUUGUUUAAAGAUGAAUCAGUUUUGAUAAAUGGCAACAUAUCAGAUCCAUGCCACAUAAGGUAUUCCAUUGCCUUGUGAAUUAAUGUGACAAUAACAAAUAGCAACCGAUGCAGAUAUUUUAGAAUUCAUUCAUUUAGAAAAAUAUAUUAUGUCAUUUAAAGUUCAUUUGCUCUUUUUUAUUCCUGAAUUUAAUUGGCAUUUCACAGAAGAUUAAUCAAAACCAUUUUUUGUACUUUGUUAAAAUUUUAUGAUGUCUGAUGGAAGCGCUUUUAUCAAUAAAGACAUGUGAUUGUGUUGAAACUAGAUAAACCC
rnacentral:misc_RNA from 1 species